UGACUUUGGGUCAGAGAAGACGAGAUUCGUUCACGUCUUCGUGACUUUGAGCUUCAGAUUUGAUGGGGGAUGUUUCUUAGUUUUCUUAUGGGUUUAAUAUUCACAGGCUUUUGUUUAUUGUGAAUCAAGUGUUGAUCUGAGUUUUUCUGGUUUCUUUGUUCAUGUUCCCGCAGGCUUGGAUCUGAUGGAAGCUUGGCUGAGGUGGAAAGCAAAGACAGAUUAUGUUGCUCGGGAAGAGGUUAUAUCCCAAUAAUAUUUUGCGUCAAUGGGUGGGGCAGGUGUAGAUUCCAAGUUUCACAGAAGACCCAAGAAGUUAGAGUGAGUUACAUUUGCUGCUGAGGGUGUUUUGCUAUAGACUUCUCAUAGCAAAAUAAGUGUGAGAAAAAGUUGGAUAUGAGGAUUGACCACAGUUAGCCAAUGAACUAAAUUCCUUAACAGAAGGGGUUUGUUUUCUCAAAAGAGAAAAGGUGUUCUGAAAUGGUUUUAAUGUAUAUAUUCCAUCCCAAUCAUCUCUCAAGUCUCAAACUGAGUCAGCCAGCAGGCUUUUGAGAUAUGCUGCCAUAGAUAUAUUGUUCUCAAGAGUUGGUAUGCCACGUAGGCAGACAAAAAGGAAGAAAAAAGCAUAUAAUGAUGCCUUCUUUGCCUUCACCUGCACGCCGGGUGUUUGUUCCAUUCUGAUCAAUCACUCAUUCAUGUUUGCUUCUUAGUGACCUUAUGCGCUCACAUGGAUGACAGCCUUUGCCAUUUUGGUCAGACACAGAGCUGUGUGACUACUGACUACUACCACCACCACCACCCAUGGCAGCCCAAUACAGUUCCUUCUCAUCUCUCAUCCAUUAAAAGUAUUGGAGUUGGAGACCAAUGUAAUCAGUCAUGGGAUAAGAAAGAGAAGGGGUUUUUCAUUUGGGUCAAACACUUCCAAUGUUAGGAGAACAAAAUUAUAGUGUUUAGGCCCCACUUAAGAUCAAUGUCCUAUAGAUAUUUGUCAUUACAGAGUCCUGAACAUUUGUCAGUGUAUGUCAAAAAUGUUGAUUUGUUUUGUACCUCAUUUAAUGAGGUAAUCCAAGAGUCUCAUAGGGAAUUAUAUCAAACACUUACAAAUGUGGAAGAGAAAAACAAAGAAUAAUAAUAAUAAUAAUUGUUAAAUGCA